rnacentral:rRNA from 1 species
UACAGAGGGUGCAAGCGUUAAUCGGAGUUACUGGGCGUAAAGGGCGCGUAGGCGGUGAGAUGUGUGUGAUGUGAAAGCCCCGGGCUUAACCUGGGAAGUGCAUCGCAAACUGUCUGACUGGAGUAUAUGAGAGGGUGGCGGAAUUUCCGGUGUAGCGGUGAAAUGCGUAGAGAUCGGAAGGAACGUCAAUGGCGAAGGCAGCCACCUGGCAUAAUACUGACGCUGAGGCGCGAAAGCGUGGGUAGCAAACAGGAUUAGAUACCCUGGUAGUCCACGCCGUAAACGAUGAGUGCUAGUUGUUUGGGGCUAUCCAGCCCUAAGUGACGCAGCAAACGCAUUAAGCACUCCGCCUGGGGAGUACGACCGCAAGGUUGAAACUCAAAGGAAUUGACGGGGGCCCGCACAAGCGGUGGAGCAUGUGGUUUAAUUCGAAGCAACGCGAAGAACCUUACCAGGUCUUGACAUACUCGUGCUAUUCCUAGAGAUAGGAAGUUCCUUCGGGACACGGGAUACAGGUGGUGCAUGGUUGUCGUCAGCUCGUGUCGUGAGAUGUUGGGUUAAGUCCCGCAACGAGCGCAACCCUUAUUGUUAGUUGCCAUCAUUAAGUUGGGCACUCUAGCGAGACUGCCGGUAAUAAACCGGAGGAAGGUGGGGAUGACGUCAAAUCAUCAUGCCCCUUAUGACCUGGGCUACACACGUGCUACAAUGGUUGGUACAACGAGUCGCAAGACAGUGAUGUCAAGCUAAUCUCUUAAAGCCAAUCUCAGUUCGGAUUGUAGGCUGCAACUCGCCUACAUGAAGUCGGAAUCGCUAGUAAUCGCGGAUCAGCACGCCGCGGUGAAUACGUUCCCGGGCCU